rnacentral:misc_RNA from 1 species
AAGACUAUAGACCUGCGGAGUACCUGCGGAGGGAUCAUUAACGAGUUUUGAAAGGGGUUGUAGCUGGCCUUUUACGAGGCAUGUGCACGCCCUGCUCAUCCACUCUUAACCUCUGUGCACUUAUUGUAGGUCGGUGAAAGGCUUGUUGCUUUUAUUAGUGCAAGCUGGAAGCCUUCCUAUGUUACACUACAAACGCUUCAGUUAUAGAAUGUUUUAUUGCGUAUAACGCAUUUAUAUACA